rnacentral:misc_RNA from 1 species
GGAAGGAUCAUUAGUGAAUUUAGCGUUUCUCUUAACAGAGCGCGACCCUCCACUUUCUUAACUCUGUGAACUUUUUUGGUCAAGCAUGGCGUUUUCUCGAUGGACUUUUAUUAGAAAGUUGGGACUACACAUUUUGCUUGACGGCUCAUUUUAAACACUAGUACAAGUAUGUAACGAAAUAUCGAAAUAUAAAAAAACUUUCAACAACGGAUCUCUUGGCUCUCGCAUCGAUGAAGAACGCAGCGAAAUGUGAUAAGUAAUGUGAAUUGCAGAAUUCAGUGAAUCAUCGAAUCUUUGAACGCACCUUGCGCUCCUAGUAUUCUGGGGAGCAUGUCUGUUUGAGUGUCAUGAACUCUUCAACUCUAUCGUUUCUUGUUAAGCGAUUAGAAGUUUGGAUUUUGAAUGUUGCUAGUCCUUUUACGGGACUUUAGCUCGUUCGUAAUACAUUAGCCUUUCUAAUUCCGAACUUCGGAUUGACUCAGUGUAAUAGACUAUUCGCUGAGGACACUAGUAAUAGUGGCCGAUAUUCAACAUAAGAAAAGCUUCAAACCUUUGUAGUCAAUUUUAGAUUAGACCUCAGAUCAGGCAGGAUUACCCGCUGAACUUAAGCAUAUCAAUAAGCGGAGGAAAAGAAACUAACAAGGAUUCCCCUAGUAACGGCGAGUGAAGCGGGAAGAGCUCAAAUUUGUAAUCUGGCCCUUUCAGGGUCCGAGUUGUAAUCUCGAGAAGUGUUUUCCGCGCCGGACUGCAUACAAGUCUGUUGGAAUACAGCGUCAUAGUGGUGAGAGCCCCGUAACUGAUGCAGAUGCCCGGUGCUUUGUGAUACACUUUCGAAGAGUCGAGUUGUUUGGGAAUGCAGCUCAAAUUGGGUGGUAAAUUCCAUCUAAAGCUAAAUAUUGGCGAGAGACCGAUAGCGAACAAGUACCGUGAGGGAAAGAUGAAAAGCACUUUGGAAAGAGAGUUAACAGUACGUGAAAUUGUUGGAAGGGAAACGCUUGAAGUCAGACUUGCUAUUCGGAAUUCAGCCGCAAGGUGUACUUUUCGAUUUGCAGGCCAGCAUCAGUUUUUGGGGGUGGAAAAGGGUGGAGAGAAGGUAGCAACCUUGGUUGUGUUAUAGCUCUUUACUGGAUUCAUCUUUGGGGACUGAGGAUCGCAGUGCGCAAUUCAUUUUUGCAAACCUUUCGAGGUUUUCGUACUUAGGAUGCUGGUGGAAUGGCUUUAAACGACCCGUCUUGAAACACGGACCAAGGAGUCUAACAUGCUUGCGAGUGUUUGGGUGUCAAACCCGAACGCGCAAUGAAAGUGAAUGGAGGUGGGAUCCGCAAGGUGCACCAUCGACCGAUCUGGAUUUUCUAAGAUGGAUUGGAGUAAGAGCAAUUAUGUUGGGACCCGAAAGAUGGUGAACUAUGCCUGAAUAGGGCGAAGCCAGAGGAAACUCUGGUGGAGGCUCGUAGCGGUUCUGACGUGCAAAUCGAUCGUCAAAUUUGGGUAUAGGGGCGAAAGACUAAUCGAACCAUCUAGUAGCUGGUUCCUGC